GAACAUUGAGCCUUGAUGUGUAGGAUAGGUGGGAGGCUUUGAAGCGUGGACGCCAGUCUGCGUGGAGCCGACCUUGAAAUACCACCCUUUAAUGUUUGAUGUUCUAACGUGGACCCGUAAUCCGGGUUGCGGACAGUGUCUGGUGGGUAGUUUGACUGGGGCGGUCUCCUCCUAAAGAGUAACGGAGGAGCACGAAGGUUGGCUAAUCCUGGUCGGACAUCAGGAGGUUAGUGCAAUGGCAUAAGCCAGCUUGACUGCGAGCGUGACGGCGCGAGCAGGUGCGAAAGCAGGUCAUAGUGAUCCGGUGGUUCUGAAUGGAAGGGCCAUCGCUCAACGGAUAAAAGGUACUCCGGGGAUAACAGGCUGAUACCGCCCAAGAGUUCAUAUCGACGGCGGUGUUUGGCACCUCGAUGUCGGCUCAUCACAUCCUGGGGCUGAAGUAGGUCCCAAGGGUAUGGCUGUUCGCCAUUUAAAGUGGUACGCGAGCUGGGUUUAGAACGUCGUGAGACAGUUCGGUCCCUAUCUGCCGUGGGCGCUGGAGAACUGAGGGGGGCUGCUCCUAGUACGAGAGGACCGGAGUGGACGCAUCACUGGUGUUCGGGUUGUCAUGCCAAUGGCACUGCCCGGUAGCUAAAUGCGGAAGAGAUAAGUGCUGAAAGCAUCUAAGCACGAAACUUGCCCCGAGAUGAGUUCUCCCUGAGACUUAGAGUCUCCUGAAGGAACGUUGAAGACGACGACGUUGAUAGGCCGGGUGUGUAAGCGCAGCGAUGCGUUGAGCUAACCGGUACUAAUGAACCGUGAGGCUUAACCUU
rnacentral:rRNA from 1 species